AUCCCCGGGAGCGGCCGAGCUCGCCCCUCGCCCCACCUCCGCCUCGGGGCAGCGGGGGCCGCGCUGGGGGCACCAGGGUCCGGACGCUGGAGCGGCGGCGCCUCCCCGCGGUGGCCCCGGGCCCCUCUCGGACCGGGGUCCUUUGGGGGCUCCGGUUCUGGCACCCCCGGGCACCCAGUCCACCAGGCCGCCUGCAUCGUCCAGGUUAGACUCCUCAGGCGGCAAAAGGGGAGGAAGGAGCCUCCCAAAUACUCCAGGCCGCAUGCGAGCUCCGGGGAAGUUGUCUAGAUGUCUUCAAAGUGGCGUUACGCUCAUCAGAUGGGAGGGUUUGGAGCAGGUUGGGAUUUCGACAGUCACAGAAUGUCAGACCAGGAGGAAGCUGGUGUCCCCGCGUCACACAGCAGCGGGCGUCGAAAACUCCGCCCGCGUCUCCGCCAGCAGACUGUCGCUUUGGAUUCCGCUGUGUCCCGCAGCCCUGCUCAGUGCCCCGCACACAGACGUGCCCCGUGAUUUUCCACGUGGCUUUUUCCCAGGUUGACGUGCUCCAAGUGGGACCCAGGGAUGAGACGUGGAGAAGGAAGGUCUCCAUUUUCUCAUCUGUGAAAUGGCAGUUUGGCCUGCUUGGUCUCUGAGGCCUCUUCCAGCUCCACGGCCAGCUCGAUGAUCACAACUGCCCCUUUAAACAGGCAGCCCAGAACUCCUGAAGUAAGAAAAUGAGAAGCUACAAGUUAAGUCCUUUGGCCAUUAGUCAAGUUUCCAUGGAAGCUGCUCUUCUCUUGUCAAGGAACCUACCUGUGCUCUUAUCCCAGGGACUCAAGGAGCACCUCACUGGCGGCAGCUAGCCCACUCAGACACCAGCUCAGCUGCUGGACCCCCUCCCCUCAUGUCUCCUGGUUUCCCCCUAACAUCAUAGACACCCUCGGAAACCCAGAGCAAGGGUACAAAGAACAGGCACUGAGAGAAGAAACCGUUCAACAGCUACUUCAUUUACUUGCUGUGUGACCUCAGGCAUGUGUCCCAGCCUCCCUGGGCUUUAGUUCCCUCUUCUAUAAUUCAUUCAAUGACUAUUUAUGAGUGCCUACUAUGUGCCAGCAGUGAACAAGAGAAAUGAAAAUCCCUGCCAUUAAGGUGGGGUGGGCGUAGGGGAUAGUGAAAUAAACAAAAUAAAAACAAUAAAAAUAAAUACACCAAUGAUAUGGUAUGUUGGAGGGUGAAAGUGCUCUGGAGAAAAAUAAAGGGAAGGAGGCCCUGUGUCCACCAACAAGGGUUGCUGUGAGGAUUAAAUGAGUUAACUCCCGUAAAAUUACUUCAUCCAACAAUUGUCAGGUAUACAAAUGUAAAGAGCAAUUAAAUCAUUGUAGAUGUACAUUUUGCAGAAUGAAUUUACAGUGAUUCUAAAUGCCAAGAAAAUGUGGUCAUCCAGGGAGGAAGAGCCCCAAAUGGCAGGGAUCUGAAUGUGCUCUCAGCCCUGGUUGCCCCUUGGCAGCGCCUGGGAGCUUUGGGGUGGGCCAGGUGUUCAUGCUUUCCGCAAGCAACCCAGGGCAUGGGACUGUGCUUCAGCCUUGCGAGUCACUGAGGCUGCCCUCUUCUUGUACCUGAGGAGCCUGAGGCACGCAGAGAGGGAGUGACCCGACUGGGGGCUGACCCAGGGCUCCUGGCACCCAGGAGGGUCACUCAGCGCGCCAUUCCCCUUGGCACGGGAGCCCCUACCGGGGGUCACGGCCUUGCAGCCUUCCUCCCUCCCCGCAGGCCCACGCGUCUCUCCUUUCUGAGGGGUAAGCAGCCAGCCGACGGCUCUGAUUGACAAACGAGGGGCGUGACUCUCCUCGGAGACGACGGGACUGUGGAUCUUCCAAGUUCAGGUUCUUUAACAGGUCGCCACCCAGGGCUGUCUGCUGCCCUCGGCGCUGGAACGGGAAGCGACUUGGUUUGCUUCCUCUUCCCGGAGAGCGUUGCCUUCCAAACGGCUCCAUCGGGACCCUACUGCUCCUGCAAGACCUGGUUCAUUUUGGGGUUCUUUUUCCCGGGGCCUCGAGUUGAACGCUUUUACUUGGUCUUGGUCCUUUUGUUUUCUAACAUGCGUUUAAGGCUACCCUGCAUUUUCCUCCAAUCCCGCUGUGGUCACACCCCACGGGUUUUAAUAGGUAAUACUCUGGCUGUUCCUUUCCAAAAAUGAGUUUUUCCAAAAACGGUUCUCUUUUCCUCUUUAACCAAAGAGAUAUUUAGUAGGUAGUUUUGAAUUUCCAAGUGGUUAGAUUUGUUUUUCUUUUUGCAGUUCAUUUCAAAUUUUAUCACAUUAUGGUUUGUGAAUGCAGCAUGUAGGGUUUCUGCUUUUGUAAUUUGUUGACAAUUUCCUUGUGGCCUAAUAUCUGAUGAUUUUAAUCGACGUUCAAUAUAUGCUUGAAAGGAAUACAUAAUACCUGCUUUUAUGAGGUACAAAGUCAUAUAUAAAGACAUUUUAUAUAUGUGCACGUAAUAAAUACAUUAUUAUCUAAUAAAUGAUAUGAUGAUGUACCACGAUACUAGAUUAUAUUAGUAUACAUUAUAUAAUAUAUAUUUAUGUAUUUACAUAAUGUUAUAUAUAUUACAUAUCGUAUGUAAGGGACCUGUUUAAUUAUCUUAUUUACAUCUUCACUAUCUGUAUUCAUUUUUGGUCUAUCUGGUCUGUUGAGAGAUACUUUAAACUCUCCCCUUUCUGUCCAUAUCCCAUCUUCUCCAGGAACUUUCUCCCAACACUCCAGGCAGGCUUUGCCUCAAAGCUGACUGCUGCCGCUGAGAUACGAAGGGUUGGGAGUAGUCAUCAGCCAGCCAAUAAAUAACCGGUGCCCUAAGCCUAACUUUGUCCUCCUGUGUCCUUUUUCCCCUAAGCCUGGGGUGCCAUUCCUCUUUAAGGUCCUGCUUUGCCGUCAGGCCUUUCCAACGCACUUCCCUGAUUAUCUGUUGCACUUGACAGCUGCCUUUUUGCCAAAAAAAUAAUAAUAACGCAUGCCUGGCUUGCCUUCUGGGCUACUGUGAAGACCAAAGGAGAUAAUGAAUGUGAAAAUGCUUUGAAACAAUGAGGUAUAAAUGUCAGUUGUUAUUGUCAAAUUAAUUGCAAUAAUUAAAUUAAUAAUCAAACCUGUCAUGAUUGGAAUGCAAAACUUGGGGAAUGUACUAUGGCCCAGCGUGGAAUCUAUUGUGGUGCAACAUUGUCAAGGACCAUCCUAGCAAUCCAGAGGCGACUGUAAAUCAAGGUGGCAGAUUGCUCAAGAAACAAAGCACAGCACCCUGAGGAGCUCUUUUCAUACAAUGGAUUAUAGAGUGGCAUUUUGCAGUCAGGAAGUGC